rnacentral:RNase_MRP_RNA from 1 species
CUUACAAAUAUAUGCCUGCUUUGUUCUGCCUAGGGGAAAAUCCCUGGACCUUGGGCAGAGUGCUGCGUGCACACGCACAUAGACAUCCCUCAGUUUCUCACUGUUAAAAUCCUCCAAGAAACAAAUCUGGCCAAGUGGCAUGGUGUGGAGGCGUGGUCCAUCAGCUCCUUUAGUUACUGCAGACAGCGUGUGUCUUAGCACACCAACCACACGGGGCUGAUUCUUAG